UACGUAGGGGGCGAGCGUUGUCCGGAGUUACUGGGCGUAAAGGGCAUGCAGGCGGUCGGACGCGUUUUGUGUGACAGCGGGUGGCUUAACUACCCGAGGAUACGAAAGACGGUUGGACUUGAGGACUCGAGAGGGACACGGAAUUCCGGGUGGAGUGGUGAAAUGCGUAGAGAUCCGGAGGAACACCGAAGGCGAAGGCAGUGUCCUGGCGAGUGACUGACGCUGAGGUGCGAAAGCCAGGGGAGCGAACGGG
rnacentral:rRNA from 1 species